rnacentral:rRNA from 1 species
GAUGAACGCUGGCGGCGUGCCUAAUACAUGCAAGUCGAGCGAACAGACGAGGAGCUUACUCCUCUGACGUUAGCGGCGGACGGGUGAGUAACACGUGGAUAACCUACCUAUAAGACUGGGAUAACUUCGGGAAACCGGAGCUAAUACCGGAUAACAUGUUGAACCGCAUGGUUCAACAGUGAAAGACGGUCUUGCUGUCACUUAUAGAUGGAUCCGCGUCGCAUUAGCUAGUUGGUAAGGUAACGGCUUACCAAGGCAACGAUGCGUAGCCGACCUGAGAGGGUGAUCGGCCACCCUGGAACUGAGCCACGGUCCAGACUCCUACGGGAGGCAGCAGUAGGGAAUCUUCCGCAAUGGGCGAAAGCCUGACGGAGCAACGCCGCGUGAGUGAAGAAGGUCUUCGGAUCGUAAAACUCUGUUAUUAGGGAAGAACAAAUGUGUAAGUAACUAUGCACGUCUUGACGGUACCUAAUCAGAAAGCCACGGCUAACUACGUG